ensembl:lncRNA
GUAGCCUAGUGGUUAGAGCGUGGUUAGGGUAGGGGCGGCAGGUAGCCUGGUGGUUAGGGGCGGCAGCCUAGUGGUUAGGCGGGGCGGCAGGUAGCCUAGUGGUUAGAGCGUAGGGGCGGCAGGUAGCCUAGUGGUUAGAGCGUAGGGGCGGCAGGUAGCCUAGUGGUUAGAGCGUAGGGGCGGCAGGUAGCCUAGUGGUUAGAGCGUAGGGGCGGCAGGUAGUCUAGUGGUUAGAGCGUAGGGGCGGCAGGUAGCCUAGUGGUUAGAGCGUAGGGGCGGCAGGUAGCCUAGUGGUUAGAGCGUUGGGCCUGUAACCGGUAGAUUGAAUCCCCGAGCUGACAAGGUAAACAUCUGUCGUUCUGCCCCUGAACAAGGCAGUUAACACACUGUUCCCUGGUAGGCCGUCAUUGAAAAUAAGAAUUUGUUCUUAACUGACUUGCCUUGUUAAAUAAAUUCUUAUGGCCAUAGUUCCCA